UCCUUCAAUAGGAGCAUCAGAAUGCUCAAUUGGUUAAAAAUGGGGAAGAGAAAGAGAAACCCGGGGCCCGAUCGGACAUGCAAGUACCUCGUGUUUGUUCACAAGUUUGGUGGAAAGAUAUACGAGAGAUAUGGGCUUAGAGGAGACGAUCUCUUGCAGAGGAAACCAAUAAAAUGAAAGAAGCAUGGGCGAAGGUCUCUGUCUAACAAAAUAAGAUAUGGUUCCUCGUUUCUCUUCUUUGUCUCAUGUGUAAGAGGGAAUAAGUUCUUCUUUCAGCAACCCUUUAUAUAAGGAAUCUUGGAAGAGAGUGCGGAAGCAGGUGGCCCAAAUCGCAAAAGAAUGGAGGAACCAAUAUUGGGAGAAUUUGAGGAAUGAAAAGGUUGAGAGAGAACUUCAGUGUAACUUGCUGAAGAUAAGGAAAAGAAAUGAAAGGAGAAAGAAGAAAUACGAGCAGAGACAGAAAGAAGGUCAAAACAAGAAGAUGAAAGUCAACGCAGGGGAAAGAAAAAGAGAUGCGUCAGUAGCACAUUCUUAGUAGCCGUUUGGUGUCAAUGCACCGUUAGUCCAUUCCAUUACUGUGUUGGGCCAUUGGGUAGAUCGAUCAGAGCAGUUUAUGAGGCCAACACGUGUCUACCGAAAGUAUGCAAAAGAAAGAGAUGCGGCUUUCAGGAUAUUCCUUUGCUGCACUCGUUCUGGUUAUUACCCUGCUAUCCCUCCCUUUACAGAUCAUAUCCUUAGCAACCUGGUUGAUGACGAACAAGAUCCAGAAAUUGAUGAUGAUGUUCCAUUUCAUUUAGGGAGUAUAAUGUUCCUUCUCUUAUUUCCUUUUAUGCUCCCAAAAUUCAUUUUAUUUUGCUUUGUUUUAAUUUCUUUUAUAUGCAGUUAGGUAAGUUGUUGGGUUAGUUUUCUUUUGGUUUUGCUGGAAUCUAUUUUGUAUGGCUGACAUUAUUUGUAAAUGGUUUGAAGAUGUUGUUUUGUUUGUUGUGCAAAGUAGCUUUUCUCUUCUUCUUCAAUCGCGUGAGAACCGACCCCUUUCUCUCUGCCUCUUUCCUUCACCAUUUGUGACCGACUAUAUCCGACCGCUGGAAGAAGACGCCGCCUGUAGACCACACCUGCCACGCCCACCAUCGUGACCACUCAGAAUCAUAAAGCCUUCAUCCAAGUCGUCGGACUUCCGCGACACAGCCUAGUCGUCUGCAUGUCUCAGCCCAGCCAUCUAGCGUCACGUCGCAUCCUCAAGUCGCCGCCGCUCCCCCAACCUUGUUUGCUGCCGUAAGUCGCCACCAGCAUUAGAGGUUGCUAGAAUUUUGGGAUUUUGGGUUUUCAAUCGAAGUUUUCGUGGGAGCACCCAGCAGCAUAAGGACCCGAGUGUUGACUUUUGGUGAGUCUUGGUUCUUUUUCUUUAAGGAUUUUUGUUUAUUAAUGGAUAGUUGGCCAAACUUUUGGUUAAAUCUUGAUUGGGGAGGAUUAAUUUGGGUUUUGAAAGAGGUUUGGAGCUGCUAUUCAAACUUUAUCAAAAGCAUUUUGAUACAUUUUGGUAAAUAUGUUAAGCCUUGGAACCCUUGAUUUAAAUAUGGUAUGUUGGAAUUUGAGGCUCUAACCACUGUUAUUGUAUUUGCUUAGAUUGGAACUUUUGUUCGAGUGUUUGGAAGUGAAUUUGAAUCUAACCACACUUUAGACUGAUGGUGAUUGUUAGCACUCCUAUCAGACUGUGUUCAUCCCCUGAGUAUGUUUCGGCAUCCUUAUGGGAUCAACACUUAAGAUUAUGUUAUUGUGUCUCUAUGAAAGCGUGCCUUCAGGUGACGGAAAGGACAAAACGGUGAAUGACAAGAAGAAUCCUAUUGGGGUUGAUGCCCUAAAUCUCCUAGGGUCCUAUAGUUUGUAAAUAUUAUUGAACAAACUCAUUGUGUAUUUAAUAAAAAAAUAUGAUAUUUUAU